GAAACAUGAGGACAGAGAAGAUGUGGUCUUACAGGACAAAGAGGCCAUGGAUACAAGACUCUGCCUCAAAAGAGUUGAGCCCUAAAAUCUCAAGGCAAAUUCAAGUUCAAUUUGUUCAACAACUGCCUCGUCACUGGCUCAUAGUCCACCAAAUCUGCUCUUCUCAAGAACUGGAUCACAAUGCUGACUCCUCUGGGAAGCCUUCUUUGAACUUCAGACAGAGUCUAAUAAAAUGUGUUUUUAUAGUUCUGACGCCGUUAGCCCUGGUGGUACAGUCUUGGUAAGUAUAUGUAAAUUGUUCUUGCACAUGAAAUUUGGAGUUAAGGAAAAAAGAUAAAACCCAUAGAGUUUUUCACAGUCUAUUUUACACAAUUGUGAGUUUAAACAGAAUAAUUGUAUAUUCUCUGAUGGUUUAGUGUUGCCUUUUAAGGAAAGAAAG
rnacentral:lncRNA from 1 species